rnacentral:rRNA from 1 species
UACGUAGGGGGCAAGCGUUGUCCGGAAUCAUUGGGCGUAAAGCGCGUGUAGGCGGCCUUGUAAGUCCGUUCUGAAAGCCCGGGGCUCAACCCCGGGAGGCGGAUGGAUACUGCAAGGCUCGAGUCCGGAAGAGGCGAGUGGAAUUCCCGGUGUAGCGGUGAAAUGCGCAGAUAUCGGGAGGAACACCAGUGGCGAAGGCGGCACUCUGGGCCGGAACUGACGCUGAGGAGCGAAAGCGUGGGGAGCGAACAGG